CACUUUCAUCAUAAUAUUUAUAAACACACUUAAGUGCACUUUUAAAAAUGCACUUUGUAUUAAUGUCUAAUUAAGCUUAACUUAAAGAAAGUACACUUUCAACAUAAUAUUUAUAAACACACUUAAGUGCACUUUUAAAAAUGCACUUUUUAAUACUGUCUAAUUAAGCUUAACUUAUAGUAAGUACACUUUCAUCACAAUAUUUCUUAACAUACUUAAGUACACUUUUUAAAAUUGCACUUUGUCUAAUUUAGUUUUACUUAAAUGUAACCCUGGUUAAAUAAUUAAAUAUUAUUAUUUUAAAAGUGUGCUUAAAAAUAAUAGAGACUAUUCAUACAUCUACAUUUAUUUUAUAAAUGAGGAAAUACAUGUGAAUAAUUCAAUCUGAAUUAUAAAUCUGAAAUGAGUAAACCAAUCGGAGUGUUUAAUUGUAAGCUCCGCCCCUUUUUUGCUUUCGGAUCGCGUCUCAGUUCAGAGGAGAGAUGCAGAGCGACAGAGACACUCGAUCUAACCCGAGAGGGUUUAAUUUGAUUAAAUAUGACUCCUAAGUUCAUAUAAACUGAAGAAAUCAGAAUUUAACUUGCAUAUAUUCAAUGAUACAGCGUGAUUGUGUGGGUUGAGCACUUUUUGAGCUUUCAUUUUGACCUGUGUGAUUAUGUAAAACCACAUGGUGCGUUGUGUUCACUGCUGUUCGCUGACGCCAUUUUGGUUGCACGUGCCUGUGAAAGACAAAAAGAGAGAGAAACACGUGAAUGGACAGGUAUUUGUCUAAAUUGUCAUUUAUUAUGAUGAUGGCACUUAUGUAUGUAUUUUAUUUGUUUCCUGUAUUGUGUACAAUUGUUCAUCAUUAUUGAUACACAAUAUUGAAUGUUUUUUCCUUUCGUACUAUGAACAUUACUUGAGCUGGAUUUUCCUAAUUGAUGGCGAGCCUCCCAUUUCGACCUGAUUGGAUCACGAAUCUAGAGGAAAGGACAAAUUUCUAUUUUAAAUAUUUUUCUUCAGACAAGUAAGAGGAUACAUUUCAGAAACUGUUGUUUCCUUAUUUUGUUUGUUUACUUCAUUGAACUGAAACAUUUCAGAAGCACAAUUCUGAUAAUUUAAGACUGAUCAAUACUCCAAUUGAUAAGAACUUUGAACUUGAAUACGGAUUUCAGUGUGUUACAUAUAUAAUUUGUACCAUCUUUGUACAUUGAUUGUGACUGUGAUUUCUGUAAAUGAGAAGUAAUUUAGAGGGUGCAGCCAUAGUAUAUAUAUAGUUAAUUGUAUUUUCAUUGUUGUUUACUAUUUUUUUGUGAUUUAAGGAAAGAAAAUGAAAGGUUUCUCAAUACUCAAAGUAAAAUAAUUUAUUAAUCAACUUA